rnacentral:rRNA from 1 species
UACGGGGGGAGCAAGCGUUGUUCGGAUUUACUGGGCGUAAAGGGCGCGUAGGCGGUCAGCACAAGUCAGUUGUGAAAUCUCCGGGCUUAACUCGGAAAGGUCAACUGAUACUGUGCGACUAGAGUGCAGAAGGGGCAACUGGAAUUCUCGGUGUAGCGGUGAAAUGCGUAGAUAUCAUCUGGAAUACCGGAGGCGAAGGCGGCUCACUGGGGGUUUUCUGACGCUGAGGAACGAAAGCCAGGGUAGCGAACGGG